rnacentral:rRNA from 1 species
GUGGGGAAUAUUGGACAAUGGGCGAAAGCCUGAUCCAGCCAUGCCGCGUGUGUGAAGAAGGUCUUCGGAUUGUAAAGCACUUUAAGUUGGGAGGAAGGGCAGUAAGUUAAUACCUUGCUGUUUUGACGUUACCGACAGAAUAAGCACCGGCUAACUUCGUGUCAGCAGCCGCGGUAAUACGAAGGGUGCAAGCGUUAAUCGGAAUUACUGGGCGUAAAGCGCGCGUAGGUGGUUUUGUAAGUUGGAGGUGAAAUCCCCGGGCUCAACCUGGGAACUGCCUCAAAAACUGCAUGACUAGAGUACGGUAGAGGGUAGUGGAAUGUCCUGUGUAGCGGUGAAAUGCGUAGAUAUAGGAAGGAACACCAGUGGCGAAGGCGACUACCUGGACUGAUGCUGACACUGAGGUGCGAAAGCGUAGGGAGCAAACAGGAUUAGAAACCCGAGUAGUCC